UGGGGGAUAUUGCACAAUGGGCGAAAGCCUGAUGCAGCGACGCUGCGUGGGGGAUGAAGGCCUUCGGGUUGUAAACUUCUUUUGCUCUGAACAAGGCAUGCCUUUGGGGUGUGUUGAGUGUAGGGGUUGAUUAGCGCCGGCUAACUACGUGCCAGCAGCCGCGGUAAUACGUAGGGCGGGAGCGUUGUCCGGAAUUAUCGGGAGUAAGGGGCUUGUAGGUGGCUGGUUGCGUCUGUCGUGAAAGCUCAUGGCUUAACUGUGGGGUUGCGGUGGGUACGGGCAGGGAUGAGGGGAGUAGGGGAGGCUGGAAUUCCUGGUGUAGCGGUGGAAGGAGCAAAUAUCAGGAGGAAUACCGGUGGCGAAGACGGGUCUCUGGGCUGUUGCUGACGCUGAGGGGCGAAAGCGUGGGGAGCGAACAGG
rnacentral:rRNA from 1 species